CAUGCAAGUCGAACGAAGAGAGAUAGGAAGCUUGCUUCUAUGGAUCUUAGUGGCGAACGGGUGAGUAACGCGUAAUCAACCUGCCCUUCAGAGGGGGACAACAGUUGGAAACGACUGCUAAUACCGCAUACGAUCCAAUCUCGGCAUCGAGAGUGGAUGAAAGGUGGCCUCUAUUUAUAAGCUAUCACUGAAGGAGGGGAUUGCGUCUGAUUAGCUAGUUGGAGGGGUAACGGCCCACCAAGGCGAUGAUCAGUAGCCGGUCUGAGAGGAUGAACGGCCACAUUGGGACUGAGACACGGCCCAGACUCCUACGGGAGGCAGCAGUGGGGAAUCUUCCGCAAUGGACGAAAGUCUGACGGAGCAACGCCGCGUGAGUGAUGACGGCCUUCGGGUUGUAAAGCUCUGUUAAUCGGGACGAAUGGUUCUUGUGCAAAUAGUGCGAGGAUUUGACGGUACCGGAAUAGAAAGCCACGGCUAACUACGUGCCAGCAGCCGCGGUAAUACGUAGGUGGCAAGCGUUGUCCGGAAUUAUUGGGCGUAAAGCGCGCGCAGGCGGAUUGGUCAGUCUGUCUUAAAAGUUCGGGGCUUUAACCCCGUGAUGGGAUGGAAACUGCCAAAUCUAGAGUAUCNGAGAGGAAAGUGGAAUUUCCUAGUGUAGCGGUGAAUGCGUAAAUAUUAGGAAGAACACCCNNUGGCCGAAAGGCCACUUUCUUGGAACAAAAA
rnacentral:rRNA from 1 species